AUUUAAUUUUAACACAAUAUACUAAUUCUCAACGCACUGUUCAUUGGCUUAUGAACAGUGCCGGCUUGAGCUGAGCCGGCUAUGGCUGAAAAGACGAUGUUGUCCCUGCUUCAUCUCUUGCCCGACACCUGUUUAUCAUUUCAAAGCUUUCGUGUCUUUGUUCUUCGCUUCGCACAGAGAGAGUUUGAGACUGAAAGAAGAGGGAGACAGGAAGAAGUUGAUGGUUGAUUCGAACAGAAAUUGAGUGAACUGAUCAUCCCAAGUAUUCUACGAUGGGUUCGAAUUUGUUUGAUUUACUUUUUUGUUGGUCUCUCAAUUUUUCCAUCAUUAUACAUCACUGUUUUGGGUUUUUCCUGUUCAAGAACCAGUCUAAGUAGUUUUCAAUUAACCUGGGUUUGGCUUAACCUUGAGGUGGAUCGAGGUGUGUUGAGAAAGGCAGGAGAGCUGCUGUUUCUGGUGUGGCUUCAAACAUCCAAUUCCAGAGUUAUUGUUUAUGCUUGGAGACAUAGAUUGCUUCUACGUUCAAGGUUUCACAUGCUACUGUUGUAAGAAUUUGGUCUGCAAGGUCUGAGGAGAAGGAGAAGGUUGAAUUUGUAAAUCAAGGUCAUUUUGGGAUUGGAUCAAGGAAUUUUUGGGGGUGAACGUGUGCCUCCAAUGCAAGUAGGUGACUGCAAUGUACCUGGAAAUGCUAUUCUUGACUACUAUAUUAAUUUUGUUGCCAUCUAUUCGGGAAAUAGAGCAUUACCUACAAACAAAUAGGAAGCCUAUCAAGUGCAUCUCCUGAUUUUCCAUACUGUGAGGCUCAAGUUGAAAUGGGAAUGCAAGUACCGCACAUAUAUCAGAUGAUGGUUCGAUUCUCUAUAGGGCUUCACUGAAAUUUUUUUAAAAACACAUACCCCAGAAUGUGUUAGGCUAUCUCUAUCUAGAUUUAGCUCUAGAGUUCAUGUGUUGCUUUUAGCUGUAAACCAAAACUCUUACCUUAGUUGGGUGCAUAACUGGGUAGUACUGUGGGAUCAUGCAGAAAAAGCAAAAAUAUUAAUGGUCCUACUUUCCUAUAUUCUUCUAGGUCCUAUGCUUAGGAAUGGAAUUGAUGUAUUGGCAAUUGCUUUUUUCCUCUCUGUUACUAAUGGAAUUGUUGGUUUCUGUUUUUUUUUUUUUUUACUUGAAUCUUAUUUGAUUAUAUUGUUGAUAGGUGGGAUCUGAUUUUUGUAUAGUUUGUGCUUUAGGUUUUUGGCUUGAUUUGAUGUACGUGAAUUUGGAGAUUUUUAGCACUUCUAAAGAUAUUCAUGGAAAUGAUGUAAACCUAAGUGAGCACUGUGGCAAGUUCUUCUGAUUGUGAAUGUUGCUUCAAAAUGGUUUUUGGCCUGAUUUGAUGUGAAUUUGGAGGUUCUGCAUAUGGAAGAAGUUGACAAAAUAAAGAAAAGAGUUCGGGUUUGGUUGCUCUGAACUGUAUGGAGCUUUGACAUUUCACUUGGUUUUUGAAGAAAGUCCAGCAACUACAGUUGAGGGUUUAGGGUAUGUGAAAGUUUAGAAAGCAUGUACUACAGUUCUUGCGUAAUACCCAGCUCCCAGAAAAGGAUAAACAGUGGAAUUUUAUGCUUGAAUUUGGUCUUCCAUGAAAGAUUGAAAGAUUGAAAUUGCUAACAUGGUUGCAGAAGUCGUAGAGACGAAAGUACCUAGGGAGAUCAUAUCAAAGUACUUGGUCUGUUACGAAUUUAGGAGAACAGCCCCCAUUAUUGAGCAUUCCCUAACCCGCAGGAACGCGCGGGCUCAAAUUCUAGUGUUCUACCAUGUGAUAAACAUUUCCAAAGGAUAUAAUAUAGAGAAUUAUUAGUCUGAGAGUUUUUUUUUCUCUUAUAGUCAGAAUAUUCACGUUUUUUUAUUAUGAAAAGAAACAAAAUAUAAAUUCAUUGUUUAACACAAUUAUUCAUACUUGAAGUAUAUA